AUUCCCGAGGAGCGCUGCGAGGUCAAUCCCCAGGCUCGGGCUUCUUGCAAACGGCGCUCACCUGAC
rnacentral:ncRNA from 1 species